rnacentral:rRNA from 1 species
UACGUAGGGGGCUAGCGUUGUCCGGAAUCAUUGGGCGUAAAGAGCGUGUAGGCGGCCCGGUAAGUCCGCUGUGAAAGUCGGGGGCUCAACCCUCGAAUGCCGGUGGAUACUGUCGGGCUAGAGUGCGGAAGAGGCGAGUGGAAUUCCUGGUGUAGCGGUGAAAUACGCAGAUAUCAGGAGGAACACCAACGGCGAAGGCAGCUCGCUGGGACGGUACUGACACUGAGGCGCGAAAGCGUGGGUAGCAAACAGG